rnacentral:rRNA from 1 species
GACGAACGCUGGCGGCGUGCUUAACACAUGCAAGUCGAACGGAAAGGCCCUGCUUUUGUGGGGUGCUCGAGUGGCGAACGGGUGAGUAACACGUGAGUAACCUGCCCUUGACUUUGGGAUAACUUCAGGAAACUGGGGCUAAUACCGGAUAGGAGCUCCUGCUGCAUGGUGGGGGUUGGAAAGUUUCGGCGGUUGGGGAUGGACUCGCGGCUUAUCAGCUUGUUGGUGGGGUAGUGGCUUACCAAGGCUUUGACGGGUAGCCGGCCUGAGAGGGUGACCGGCCACAUUGGGACUGAGAUACGGCCCAGACUCCUACGGGAAGCAGCAGUGGGGAAUAUUGCACAAUGGGCGGAAGCCUGAUGCAGCAACGCCGCGUGCGGGAUGACGGCCUUCGGGUUGUAAACCGCUUUCGCCUGUGACGAAGCGUGAGUGGCGGGAAUGGGUAAAGAAGCACCGGCUAACUACGUGCCAGCAGCCGCGGUGAUACGUAGGGUGCGAGCGUUGUCCGGAUUUAUUGGGCGUAAAGGGCUCGUAGGUGGUUGAUCGCGUCGGAAGUGUAAUCUUGGGGCUUAACCCUGAGCGUGCUUUCGAUACGGGGUUGACUUGAGGAAGGUAGGGGAGAAUGGAAUUCCUGGUGGAGCGGUGGAAUGCGCAGAUAUCAGGAGGAACACCAGUGGCGAAGGCGGUUCUCUGGGCCUUUCCUGACGCUGAGGAGCGAAAGCGUGGGGAGCGAACAGGCUUAGAUACCCUGGUAGUCCACGCUGUAAACGGUGGGUACUAGGUGUGGGGUCCAUUCCACGGGUUCCGUGCCGUAGCUAACGCUUUAAGUACCCCGCCUGGGGAGUACGGCCGCAAGGCUAAAACUCAAAGGAAUUGACGGGGCCCCGCACAAGCGGCGGAGCAUGCGGAUUAAUUCGAUGCAACGCGUAGAACCUUACCUGGGUUUGACAUGGAUCGGGAGUGCUCAGAGAUGGGUGUGCCUCUUUUGGGGUCGGUUCACAGGUGGUGCAUGGCUGUCGUCAGCUCGUGUCGUGAGAUGUUGGGUUAAGUCCCGCAACGAGCGCAACCCUUGUUCACUGUUGCCAGCACGUUAUGGUGGGGACUCAGUGGAGACCGCCGGGGUCAACUCGGAGGAAGGUGGGGAUGACGUCAAGUCAUCAUGCCCCUUAUGUCCAGGGCCUCACGCAUGCUACAAUGGCUGGUACAGAGAGUGGCGAGCCUGUGAGGGUGAGCGAAUCUCGGAAAGCCGGUCUCAGUUCGGAUUGGGGUCUGCAACUCGACCUCAUGAAGUCGGAGUCGCUAGUAAUCGCAGAUCAGCAACGCUGCGGUGAAUACGUUCCCGGG